rnacentral:rRNA from 1 species
CUCUUGCCACUUACAUGUAUAAGAGGUCCAGCCUGCCCAGUGACUAUAUGUUCAACGGCCGCGGUAUUCUGACCGUGCAAAGGUAGCGUAAUCACUUGUCUUUUAAAUAAAGACUGGUAUGAACGGCACCACGAAGGUUCAACUGUCUCCUGCAUCCUAUCCAUAAAAUUGACCUCCCCGUGCAGAGGCGGGGAUAUAACCAUAAGACGAGAAGACCCUAUGGAGCUUCAAACUAAGGGCAACUGCCAAUAAUCUAUUAAACCAUUAGGAAUUAAUCAGUAAACAAGCAGAUAAAUGACCUAAAGUUUUCGGUUGGGGCGACCAUGGAGAAAAAGAAAUCCUCCUUGAAGAACAGGACAUUCAAUCCUUAACCAAGAAUAACAGUUCUAAGUAACAAAAUUUUAGACUAUAAUUGAUCCAGUCUAACUGAUCAACGAACCAAGUUACCCUAGGGAUAACAGCGCAAUCCAUUUCAAAAGUUCUUAUCGACAAAUGGGUUUACGACCUCGAUGUUGGAUCAGGGCAUCCCAGUGGUGCAGCCGCUACUAAAGGUUCGUUUGUUCAACGAUUAAAGCCCUACGUGAUCUGAGUUCAGACCGGAGUAAUCCAGGNCNGUNUCUAUCUAUGAAGAAUUUUCUCCNGUACGAAAGGACCGAGAAAAUGAGGCCAAUGUUUAAAUAAGCCUCACUCUAUAUCAAUGCAAACAACUAAAUUGAAAAUAGAUCUGCAACCAAGCCCAAGAUUAGGGCUA